ACGAGGACAUGAUGGAGAUCCAGGUCCCCAGGGUGUUGAAGGAGCCACUGGUGACCAAGGCCAGAGGGGCGUGAUGGGCGAGUCUGGUCCUAAAGGUGAUGAGGGAUCUCAAGGUGGAAGAGGAAUCACAGGUCUUCCUGGGCCCAAGGGAAAGGGUG